AACAUACUCCCUUCGUCCUAAAUUUUUUGUCUUAAAUUUGUCUAGAUACGGAUGUAUCAAAUAAAAUAUCCAUAUUUAGACAAAUUUAAAACAAGAAUUUUGAGACAGAGGGAGUACAAG
rfam:Triticum aestivum genome assembly, contig: Triticum_aestivum_CS42_TGACv1_scaffold_487997_6AS